UACGUAGGGAGCAAGCGUUGUUCGGAUUUACUGGGCGUAAAGGCGCGUAGGCGGCAUAUUAAGUCAUCUGUGAAAUCUCCGAGCUUAACUCGGAACUGUCAGCUGAUACUGAUGUGCUAGAGUGCGGAAGGGGCAAUCGGAAUUCUGGAUGUAGCGGUGAAAUGACGUAGAUAUCAAGAGGAACACCUGAGGUGAAGACGGGUUGCUGGGCCGACACGUGACGCUGGAGUGACGCGAAAGCCAGGGGAGCAAAACGGG
rnacentral:rRNA from 1 species